rnacentral:sRNA from 2 species
AAACUCAGAUGUUGAACGUGAAGGAUAACGUUGCGUCAGCAACGGCCCGUAGGGCGAGGCGAAGCCGAGUCAUCCUGCACGACCCACCA